rnacentral:rRNA from 1 species
AACGGCCAUACCAUGCUGAUUAUACCGGUUCUCGGUAGAUCACCGAAGUCAAGCAUCAUUGAGCGCGGUCAGUACUUGGGUGGGUAACCACCUGGAAACACCUCGUGCGGU